GCUUGGGGACGACCCCGGCAUUUGCCUUCCAUACCAGGGAUGCGGGACGACCCGC
rnacentral:ncRNA from 1 species